UAGGGAAUCUUCCGCAAUGGGCGAAAGCUUGACGGAGCAACGCCGCGUGAGUGAUGAAGGUCUUAGGAUCGUAAAACUCUGUUAUUAGGGAAGAACAAAUGUGUAAGUAACUAUGAACGUCUUGACGGUACCUAAUCAGAAAGCCACGGCUAACUACGUGCCAGCAGCCGCGGUAAUACGUAGGUGGCAAGCGUUAUCCUGAAUUAUUGGGCGUAAAGCGCGCGUAGGCGGUUUUUUAAGUCUGAUGUGAAAGCCCACGGCUCAACCGUGGACGGUCAUUCGAAACUGGACAUCUUGAGUUCAGAAGAGGUAAGUGGAAUUCCAUGUGUAGCGGUGAAAUGCGCAGAGAUAUGGCGGAACACCAGUGGCGAAGGCGACUUUCUGGUCUGUAACUGACGCUGAUGUGCGAAAGCGUGGGGAUCAAACAGG
rnacentral:rRNA from 1 species